rnacentral:rRNA from 1 species
AAAUGCUUAGAUAUGAAAUAGAACACCGAUCGCGAAGGCAGCUUACGAAACUAUAACUGACGCUCAGGAACGAAAGCGUGGGGAGCGAACAGGAUUAGAUACCCUGGUAGUCCACGCUGUAAACGAUGAUUACUCGUUGUCGGCGAUACACAGUCGGUGGCUAAGCGAAAGUGAUAAGUAAUCCACCUGGGGAGUACGAUCGCAAGGUUGAAACUCAAAGGAAUUGACGGGGGCCCGCACAAGCGGAGGAGCAUGUGGUUUAAUUCGAUGAUACGCGAGGAACCUUACCUGGGCUUAAAUGUAGAUUGCAUGAAGGGGAAACCUUUCUUUUCUUCGGAACUAUUUACAAGGUGCUGCAUGGUUGUCGUCAGCUCGUGCCGUGAGGUGUCGGGUUAAGUCCCAUAACGAGCGCAACCCCUACUUCUAGUUGCCAUCAGGUAAUGCUGGGGACUCUAGAGGAACUGCCUACGCAAGUAGUGAGGAAGGUGGGGAUGACGUCAAAUCAGCACGGCCCUUACGUCCAGGGCUACACACGUGCUACAAUGGUCGGUACAGAGGGCAGCUACCACGCGAGUGGAUGCAAAUCUCUAAAGCCGAUCUCAGUUCGGAUCGAAGUCUGAAACUCGACUUCGUGAAGUUGGAUUCGCUAGUAAUCGCGCAUCAGCCAUGGCGCGGUGAAUACGUUCCCGGGCCUUGUACACACCGCCCGUCAAACAAUGGAAGCUUGGGGUACCUGAA